rnacentral:rRNA from 1 species
GACAGAGGGUGCAAACGUUGUCCGGAUUUAUUGGGCGUAAAGAGCGUGUAGGCGGCCAUACAGGUCCGUUGUGAAAACUGGAGGCUUAACCUCCAGACGUCGAUGGAAACCGUAUGGCUAGAGUCCGGAAGAGGAGAGUGGAAUUCCUGGUGUAGCGGUGAAAUGCGCAGAUAUCAGGAAGAACACCCGUGGCGAAGGCGGCUCUCUGGGACGGUACUGACGCUGAGACGCGAAAGCGUGGGGAGCGAACAGG